CCUACGGGAGGCAGCAGUGAGGAAUAUUGGUCAAUGGCCGCAAGCCUGAACCAGCCAAGUCGCGUGAAGGAUGAAGGUGCUAAGCAUUGUAAACCUCUUUUGUCAAGGAAUAAAGUGUGGCACGUGUGCUUUUUUGUGGGUACUUUAUGAAUAAGCAUCGGCUAACUCCGUGCCAGCAGCCGCGGUAAUACGGAGGAUGCGAGCGUUAUCCGGAUUUAUUGGGUUUAAAGGGUGCGUAGGCGGAUCGUUAAGUCAGUGGUAAAAGUGCGGGGCUCAACCCCUGCGAGCCAUUGAAACUGGCGGUCUUGAGUGGAAGAGAGGUAUGCGGAAGGCGCGGUGUAGCGGUGAAAUGCUUAGAUAUCACGCAGAACCCCGAUUGCGAAGGCAGCAUGCCGGCUGCCGACUGACGCUGAAGCACGAAAGCGUGGGUAUCGAACAGGAUUAGAUACCCGUGUAGUC
rnacentral:rRNA from 1 species